rfam:Stegodyphus mimosarum contig103455, whole genome shotgun sequence.
GCCUUCGCGGUGUAACGGUUAGCACACUCGGCGCGUAUUCGAGAGGUCCAGGUUCGAGUCCCGGCGAGGGCA